rnacentral:tRNA from 1 species
GAGGUGGCUAGCCGAUAGGUGACGGUAGCCAUAGCCCGCAAGGUCUAUGGCCGAGCAGCAAUGCCUUGAAGGUUCGAGCCCUUUCCACUCCGC